GCACCACAAGGCGUGAAGCGUGCGGUUUAAUUGGAGUCAGCACCGGAAACCUUACCGGGGGCGACAGCAGGUUGAAGGCCAGAUUGACGAUCUUGCCAGACAAGCUGAGAGGAGGUGCAUGGCCGUCGCCAGUUCGUGCCGUGAGGUGUCCUGUUAAGUCAGGCACCCCUCGAGACCCACGUUCCCUGUUGCUACCAAAGAAAGUUUCCAAGGGGCACACUGGGAGGACAGCCGCCGAUAAGGCGGAGGAAGGAGUGGGCCACGGCAGGUCAGUAUGCCCCGAAUCCCCCGGGCCACACGCGUGCUGCAAUGGCCGGUACAAUGGGUUCCGACCUCGUGAGAGGAGGGUAAUCCCUAAAGCCGAUCGUAGUUUGGAUCGAGGGCUGCAACCCGCCCUCGUGAAACUGGAAUGCCUAGUAAUCGCGUGUCAUUAACGCGCGGUGAAUACGUCCCUGCUCCUUGCACACACCGCCCGUCGUUCCACUCGAGUGGGUUUUGGGUGAGGCGCGGUCCUUGGUGGCUGUGUCGAGCCUGAGGUUCGCGAGAGGGGAA
rnacentral:rRNA from 1 species